rnacentral:rRNA from 1 species
CGGCGAUACCCGAAUGGGGAAACCCAGUGUGACUCGUCACACUAUCAUUAACUGAAUCCAUAGGUUAAUGAGGCGAACCGGGGGAACUGAAACAUCUAAGUACCCCGAGGAAAAGAAAUCAACCGAGAUUCCCCCAGUAGCGGCGAGCGAACGGGGAGGAGCCCAGAGCCUGAAUCAGCAUGUGUGUUAGUGGAAGCGUCUGGAAAGGCGCGCGAUACAGGGUGACAGCCCCGUACACAAAAGCGCAUGUGCUGUGAGCUCGAUGAGUAGGGCGGGACACGUGGUAUCCUGUCUGAAUAUGGGGGGACCAUCCUCCAAGGCUAAAUACUCCUGACUGACCGAUAGUGAACCAGUACCGUGAGGGAAAGGCGAAAAGAACCCCGGCGAGGGGAGUGAAAAAGAACCUGAAACCGUGUACGUACAAGCAGUGGGAGCCCCACCACCAAAGCAUUUGCUGUACCGCGUUGACGGAGCGAAGCGACGUCAAACCGAUAAAACAGCAGUGUAAAGUGAGCCGCAGGGCGCUUUGCGCGACAGCGCAAAGGCAGGCGGUUUCGCGUAGCGAAAGCGAAUGCUUUGGGGUGGGGUGACUGCGUACCUUUUGUAUAAUGGGUCAGCGACUUAUAUUCUGUAGCAAGGUUAACCGAAUAGGGGAGCCGGAGGGAAACCGAGUCUUAAUUGGGCGUUAAGUUGCAGGGUAUAGACCCGAAACCCGGUGAUCUAGCCAUGGGCAGGUUGAAGGUUGGGUAACACUAACUGGAGGACCGAACCGACUAAUGUUGAAAAAUUAGCGGAUGACCUGUGGCUGGGGGUGAAAGGCCAAUCAAACCGGGAGAUAGCUGGUUCUCCCCGAAAGCUAUUUAGGUAGCGCCUCGUGAAUUCAUCUCCGGGGGUAGAGCACUGUUUCGGCUAGGGGGCCAUCCCGGCUUACCAACCCGAUGCAAACUGCGAAUACCGGAGAAUGUUAUCACGGGAGACACACGGCGGGUGCUAACGUCCGUCGUGAAGAGGGAAACAACCCAGACCGCCAGCUAAGGUCCCAAAGUCAUGGUUAAGUGGGAAACGAUGUGGGAAGGCCCAGACAGCCAGGAUGUUGGCUUAGAAGCAGCCAUCAUUUAAAGAAAGCGUAAUAGCUCACUGGUCGAGUCGGCCUGCGCGGAAGAUGUAACGGGGCUAAACCAUGCACCGAAGCUGCGGCAGCGACACUGUGUGUUGUUGGGUAGGGGAGCGUUCUGUAAGCCUGCGAAGGUGGCCUGUGAGGGUUGCUGGAGGUAUCAGAAGUGCGAAUGCUGACAUAAGUAACGAUAAAGCGGGUGAAAAGCCCGCUCGCCGGAAGACCAAGGGUUCCUGUCCAACGUUAAUCGGGGCAGGGUGAGUCGACCCCUAAGGCGAGGCCGAAAGGCGUAGUCGAUGGGAAACGGGUUAAUAUUCCCGUACUUGGUGUUACUGCGAAGGGGGGACGGAGAAGGCUAUGUUGGCCGGGCGACGGUUGUCCCGGUUUAAGCGUGUAGGUGUGUGUUCCAGGUAAAUCCGGUUCACUUUAACACUGAGGCGUGACGACGAGGCACUACGGUGCUGAAGCAACAAAUGCCCUGCUUCCAGGAAAAGCCUCUAAGCAUCAGGUAACAUCAAAUCGUACCCCAAACCGACACAGGUGGUCAGGUAGAGAAUACCAAGGCGCUUGAGAGAACUCGGGUGAAGGAACUAGGCAAAAUGGUGCCGUAACUUCGGGAGAAGGCACGCUGACACGUAGGUGAAGUGAUUUACUCAUGGAGCUGAAGUCAGUCGAAGAUACCAGCUGGCUGCAACUGUUUAUUAAAAACACAGCACUGUGCAAACACGAAAGUGGACGUAUACGGUGUGACGCCUGCCCGGUGCCGGAAGGUUAAUUGAUGGGGUCAGCGCAAGCGAAGCUCCUGAUCGAAGCCCCGGUAAACGGCGGCCGUAACUAUAACGGUCCUAAGGUAGCGAAAUUCCUUGUCGGGUAAGUUCCGACCUGCACGAAUGGCGUAAUGAUGGCCAGGCUGUCUCCACCCGAGACUCAGUGAAAUUGAACUCGCUGUGAAGAUGCAGUGUACCCGCGGCAAGACGGAAAGACCCCGUGAACCUUUACUAUAGCUUGACACUGAACAUUGAGCCUUGAUGUGUAGGAUAGGUGGGAGGCUUUGAAGUGUGGACGCCAGUCUGCAUGGAGCCGACCUUGAAAUACCACCCUUUAAUGUUUGAUGUUCUAACGUGGACCCGUUACCCGGGUUGCGGACAGUGUCUGGUGGGUAGUUUGACUGGGGCGGUCUCCUCCUAAAGAGUAACGGAGGAGCACGAAGGUUGGCUAAUCCUGGUCGGACAUCAGGAGGUUAGUGCAAUGGCAUAAGCCAGCUUGACUGCGAGCGUGACGGCGCGAGCAGGUGCGAAAGCAGGUCAUAGUGAUCCGGUGGUUCUGAAUGGAAGGGCCAUCGCUCAACGGAUAAAAGGUACUCCGGGGAUAACAGGCUGAUACCGCCCAAGAGUUCAUAUCGACGGCGGUGUUUGGCACCUCGAUGUCGGCUCAUCACAUCCUGGGGCUGAAGUAGGUCCCAAGGGUAUGGCUGUUCGCCAUUUAAAGUGGUACGCGAGCUGGGUUUAGAACGUCGUGAGACAGUUCGGUCCCUAUCUGCCGUGGGCGCUGGAGAACUGAGGGGGGCUGCUCCUAGUACGAGAGGACCGGAGUGGACGCAUCACUGGUGUUCGGGUUGUCAUGCCAAUGGCACUGCCCGGUAGCUAAAUGCGGAAGAGAUAAGUGCUGAAAGCAUCUAAGCACGAAACUUGCCCCGAGAUGAGUUCUCCCUGAGACUUAGAGUCUCCUGAAGGAACGUUGAAGACGACGACGUUGAUAGGCCGGGUGUGUAAGCGCAGCGAUGCGUUGAGCUAACCGGUACUAAUGAACCGUGAGGCUUAACCUUACAACGCCGAAG